rnacentral:rRNA from 1 species
GACGAAGGGGGCUAGCGUUGUUCGGAAUUACUGGGCGUAAAGCGCGUGUAGGCGGUUGUUCAAGUCAGGGGUGAAAGCCUUGAGCUCAACUCAAGAAAUGCACUUGAUACUGGAUGACUAGAGGACCGGAGAGGAUAGUGGAAUCCCCAGUGUAGUGGUGAAAUACGUAGAGAUUGGGAAGAACACCAGUGGCGAAGGCGGCUAUCUGGACGGUUUCUGACGCUAAGACGCGAAAGCGUGGGGAGCAAACAGG